rnacentral:rRNA from 1 species
AUGAAUAGAUGGCCGGCGUUCUUAGAAGGACAAGCAGUCCUAAAUGUCGAUGCUUCGUUUAUAGAAGGUGAUUAUGCAGGGUCAUGUGGUGCGGUUAUCCGUGAUCACCGAGGAUCUUUCAUGUCUGCAUCCACAGCGAGAUUAGAACAUGUAGCUGAUGUUUGUACAGCAGGAGCGGCAACUUUGCUUGAAGGACUGAAGUUAGCAAGAGAUACAGGAUGCCAUAAUGUGGUGGUAAGAUCGGGUAAUAUCAUGGUGGUGGAUGCACUUAGACUCAAUGGAGGCUAUUCUAUGGUGGCAGCGCCAGAGUUUGAUGAAUGUCGUAGUUAUCUCCAAGAUUUUGGGAGGUUUACUAUUGAGCAUUGUAUUAGACAGUCAAACUAUGUAGCUCAUGAGCUGGCUAGACGGGGACAUGUCCAUAAUCCAUCUCGUUGGAUUGACGCCCCGUCUGAUUUCAUUGUAAAUCUAUUAGCAGACGAUGCAUUUAUCCUUUGA